CAGGAGCAAAGACAUUUCUCUUUCCUAGAGAGGCCACUGCACAACUAGGGAAACGGGCACAGAGAACAUUCUUCCAUGGCCUGCCUCUGCUGGCAGAAAUGCCCACUGCUGCUCUCAGCUAAGGCUGCUUCUCCUGUAGCAUAAUGCCAUAGCAAUGCCUUACAACUAUUGAAGCUUUCCAGCCAGUCAGAAAAGCCAUCAAAACAUGGGGAUGAAAGAGCUACACCACCCUGUGCUGUUUACUGGACCAGCUGCUGUUUCUAUGAAUCCACAGGAUUUUCUCUCGUGAGGAAGCACAGCUUUUGAAGAUAAUCAAACAAUCCAGACCAUAACUUAUCCAUUACAAACAGCUUUGCACCUAUCAUGUCACUCUGGUAUAUAUAAUUUGAUAGUAGCAUUACGGCUGUUUUCAUUCACAGGGGGUUUACUGCAUACAGAAACAGCCUGCAUGCACUAACAUCCAGCUAUCAAGAAGACAGAAGCUGCCCAGAGAAACAGACUUCUUCCACAUCCAUCACCAUAUUGAAAAAUCUAUCUCAUGAGAAGGAAUUUCUACAGUCUGACCAACACACUUGCAAAACAUUUGCAUGCCCCUGAAAAGCACUUGUGGUUCCCUGGACUGAACACACAGCUAUUAUAGUGCAUCACUGCCCCAGGACACAAAGCACUGAGCCCCAGUUACAGUCACAUACAAUGUAAUUCAAAUUUACCUUGUUAAAGACAACAGCUUUCAAGAAUCAUCUAAAGGUGCCACUCAGUCCUCUCCAGUGUUUAAACACUGCCUGUUAGACCAACACAGAAAGAAAGGCAAAAUCUUUCUACUUCUUGACCAAAAUACACAGAGCAACUAGCAGGUCUUUCUGCAAGAAGGAUAAUCUUGAGACUUUCUUUUGGUGAUACUUCUGGCAUUCAGACACAGGAAUAAAGUGGUAUUUUCCCUCCAGCCAUUUACAGCUAUUUGUUGUACUGAGGCUAGGAAAAUAACCCCACCACAGACAAGGGAAUCAGGUUGGAUUGCUAUGCAUAGAAGCAAAAGCAUGUUCCACAUCAUAGUGUCCAAGCUGAAAAGAAUUCACAGUGCAUGGGCAAGGAAGCUGAAGGUACAAAACAGAUUCAGGCAUAUGAACUUCUUAUUCUUUGUAGCCUUUUUCCUAUAUAUGGCAAAUAGAUAAAACAAAGACCAGUUCCAAUUCCCUUGGAGAGGUUCUCUAGUUAGAGGCCUACACUUCGCAUAGUGAAGGGACUCAUAGGUGCCAAACUGAUAAAGCCAACG